GAGGCUUUAGCUCAGUGGUAGAGCACUUGCCUGGCAUGCAUGAGGUCUUGGGUUCAGCCCAAAGUACUGG
rnacentral:tRNA from 1 species